AUUGAACGCUGGCGGCAGGCCUAACACAUGCAAGUCGAACGAGUGGCGGACGGGUGAGUAAUGUCUGGGAAACUGCCUGAUGGAGGGGGAUAACUACUGGAAACGGUAGCUAAUACCGCAUACCAUCAGAUGUGCCCAGAUGGGAUUAGCUAGUUGGUGGGGUAACGGCUCACCAAGGCGACGAUCCCUAGCUGGUCUGAGAGGAUGACCACCCACACUGGAACUUGGACACGGCCCAACCUCCUAGGGGAGGCAGCUGUGGGGAAUAUGGCACAUGGGGGGAAAGCCUGAUGCAGCCAGGCCGCGGUUAUGAAGAGGGCCUUGGGUUUGUAAAGUACUUUCAGCGGGAAGGCGUUACCCGCAGAAGAAGCACCGGCUACCUCCGUGCCAGCAGCCGCGGUAAUA
rnacentral:rRNA from 1 species